rnacentral:rRNA from 1 species
CACGUAGGGUGCGAGCGUUGUCCGGAAUUAUUGGGCGUAAAGAGCUCGUAGGCGGUGUGUCGCGUCGGCCGUGAAAACCUGCAGCUUAACUGUGGGCUUGCGGUCGAUACGGGCAUCACUGGAGUUCGGCAGGGGAGACUGGAAUUCCUGGUGUAGCGGUGAAAUGCGCAGAUAUCAGGAGGGAACACCCGGUGGCGAAGGCGGGUCUCUGGGCCGAUACUGAC